GAUGAACGCUAGCGGGAGGCCUAAUACAUGCAAGUCGAACGGUAACAGGUAGCAAUACGCUGACGAGUGGCGCACGGGUGCGUAACGCGUACACAAUCUGCCUUAUACUGGGGCAUAGCCUUUGGAAACGAAGAAUAAUUCCCCAUAACAUAUAGAAGAGGCAUCUCUUUUAUAUUAAAGCUCAGGCGGUAUAAGAUGAGUGUGCGUCCGAUUAGGUAGUUGGUGAGGUAACGGCUCACCAAGCCAACGAUCGGUAGCUGGUCUGAGAGGAUGAUCAGCCACACGGGCACUGAGACACGGGCCCGACUCCUACGGGAGGCAGCAGUAGGGAAUAUUGGACAAUGGGCGCAAGCCUGAUCCAGCCAUCCCGCGUGAAGGAUGAAGGUCCUCUGGAUUGUAAACUUCUUUUCUUCGGGAUAAAACUAGGGGUUCUCCUCAGCUUGAAGGUACCGAAGGAAUAAGCACCGGCUAACUCCGUGCCAGCAGCCGCGGUAA
rnacentral:rRNA from 1 species